UGUGUUAUAAUACCUUAUAAUUCCAUACAGGAACGAAUGACAGGGAAGCUGGUGCAAGUCCAGCGCGGUGCCGCCACUGUAAAUGGGGAGCCACCCGCAAGUUGCCACUGGCCGGCAGGGCCGGGAAGGCGCGGGCAGACGGUGAUCCAUGAGUCAGGAAACCUGUUCGUUCCGGUUCACCGUAU
rnacentral:ncRNA from 16 species